rnacentral:rRNA from 1 species
GAUGAACGCUGGCGGCGUGCCUAAUACAUGCAAGUCGAGCGAACAGACGAGGAGCUUGCUCCUCUGACGUUAGCGGCGGACGGGUGAGUAACACGUGGAUAACCUACCUAUAAGACUGGGAUAACUUCGGGAAACCGGAGCUAAUACCGGAUAAUAUAUUGAACCGCAUGGUUCAAUAGUGAAAGACGGUUUUGCUGUCACUUAUAGAUGGAUCCGCGCCGCAUUAGCUAGUUGGUAAGGUAACGGCUUACCAAGGCAACGAUGCGUAGCCGACCUGAGAGGGUGAUCGGCGACAUGGGAGCUGAGACACGGUCCCGACUCCUACGGGACGCAGCAGUAGGGUAUCUUCCGCAAUGGGCGAAAGCAUGACGGAGCAACGGCGCGUGAGUGAUGAAGGUCUUCGGAUCGUAAAACUCUGUUAUUAGGGAAGAACAAAUGUGUAAGUAACUAUGCACGUCGUGACGGUACCUAAUCAGAAAGCCACGGCUAACUACGUG